GACAGCAGCCGCCACGGGAAUACGUAGGUGGCAAGCGUUGUCCGGAAUUAUUGGGCGUAAAGCGCGCGCAGGCGGAUCGGUCAGUCUGUCUUAAAAGUUCGGGGCUUAACCCCGUGAUGGGAUGGAAACUGCCAAUCUAGAGUAUCGGAGAGGAAAGUGGAAUUCCUAGUGUAGCGGUGAAAUGCGUAGAUAUUAGGAAGAACACCAGUGGCGAAGGCGACUUUCUGGACGAAAACUGACACUGAGGCGCGAAAGCCAGGGGAGCGAACGGGAUUAGAUACCCCAGUAGUCCCUGUCUCUUAUCAC
rnacentral:rRNA from 1 species